AUGAGCUUCGCUCAAGAGCAUAGCUCAUACCAAAACAAUUACUCACAUGGGUGGCCUGAAAUCCCGAAUAUGUCAUAUAGGAGCAACAACCCUGAGAUCUCACAGUUUGGUUCUAGUAAUCAUAUGCAGGGAUUUAGGUACAAUGAGGAGAGCCACAACUAUGCACCACAACAAUUCCAUUCAGCUCCUACUCAUAUACCACAGCACCAAGAGAUGUGUCCAAUGGAGUUAAAUGGUCCUCCAUUUGGUCAACCAACAACUCCAGCACCUGUUGUGCAAUCUCAUGUGCAAGUGCCCACACAAGAUGAGUUCGAUGACAUAGACAAGCUCACACUUUUGAGUCUCGAGUUCACUUGGAGUGCCGAGGAUGAUCCUAUUAGGAAGGUUAUACUAGAGGAAAUGAAGAAGAUUAAGAGUGGAAAGGAGCUAGUGGAUGAAGUAAGGAAGAUUGAGAAGAACAUCAACGCUGAUAGCAAGUGCCUUGAGCAAGAAAUACCUCAGAUUGAAGAAGAUGAACUAGAAGACAAGGAACAAGAUGGUCAAGAGCUGCAAUUCCCAAGUGAUCAAGUUGAAGACUCAUCAUCUACUACUCCUGAAGAAGUACAAGAAGCUGCUGUAGAUGAAGAUGAAGAACCUGAGAUUCAUUGGACUAUUAUCAUACAUGAGCAUGAUGUGUCAGGUUUACCCAAUCCUCUUGAUGACAUGAGUCCUUAUGAUUUAUUUGCUUCUACCUUGCAUUACAUGAUGCCAUCACUUAAGAUUUAUUUGAAAAAUCAUUUACUUGGAUAUGAUGAUACAUACACUGUUGGUGGCAUUGCUCUCAUUUGUGAUGAUCACAACUACUUUCCUCAUGCUAGUCUUGAGCUUAAUGAUAAAUGUCAUCCUCGUGUGAGUAUUGACCAUGCUGAUUUCUGCCAUCCUAAACAUGUGCUUUAUAGUUAUGCUUAUAUAAUUGGAUAUUCCAUUGAUGACUUGGAGGGCAUCGACCGUAUCACUUGUAGUUGUUUGUGUGAGUCCUAUUUUAGGCUUUUGCUACUGCACUAUUUACUACAUGCUGACCAGGUUCGAGGUGACAUUCCUUGGGAUCCUGGUGGAGUCAGAGCAUGGCGAUGA
rnacentral:rRNA from 1 species